UACGAAGGGGGCUAGCGUUGUUCGGAUUUACUGGGCGUAAAGCGCACGUAGGCGGAUCGAUCAGUCAGGGGUGAAAUCCCAGAGCUCAACUCUGGAACUGCCUUUGAUACUGUCGAUCUGGAGUAUGGAAGAGGUGGAGUGGAAUUCCGAGUGUAGAGGUGAAAUUCGUAGAUAUUCGGAGGAACACCAGUGGCGAAGGCGGCUCACUGGUCCAUUACUGACGCUGAGGUGCGAAAGCGUGGGGAGCAAACAGG
rnacentral:rRNA from 1 species